rnacentral:rRNA from 1 species
UUAAAAAAUUUUUUAAGAGCAUGUCUCAGUACAGGCCUUUAUACGGUGAAACCGCGAAUGGCUCAUUAAAUCAGCUAUGGUUUAUUGGAUCAUACCCGUUAAAUGGAUAACUGUAAUAACUCUAGAGCUAAUACAUGCCUCGAUGCCCUGACCCUGUCCUCCUGUGGCUCGUUGUAGCUGCAGUUGAGGGCGGGGGAGGGGUGCACUUAUUAGAUCAGAAGCCAACCGGCGUUGCGCGUGUAUUCAUGUGCAAGGCUGAAGCACUUCUGGUGACUCUGGAUAAUUGUUACAGAUCGCAGUCGGCCUUGAGUCGGCGACGGGUCCUUCAAAUGUCUGCCCUAUCAACUUUCGAUGGUAGGUGACCUGCCUACCAUGGUGAUAACGGGUAACGGGGAAUCAGGGUUCGAUCCGGAGAGGAGCCCGAAGAAC